UACAGAGGGUGCAAGCGUUAAUCGGAUUUACUGGGCGUAAAGCGUGUGUAGGUGGUUUGACAAGUUGGUUGUGAAAUCCCCGGGCUCAACCUGGGAACUGCUUCCAAGACUGUCAGACUAGAGUACGGUAGAGGGCGGUGGAAUUUCCGGUGUAGCGGUGAAAUGCGUAGAUAUCGGAAGGAACACCAAUGGCGAAGGCAGCCGCCUGGGCCUGUACUGACACUGAGACACGAAAGCGUGGGGAUCAAACAGG
rnacentral:rRNA from 2 species